rnacentral:rRNA from 1 species
GAUGAACGCUGGCGGCGUGCCUAAUACAUGCAAGUCGAGCGAACGGACGAGAAGCUUGCUUCUCUGAUGUUAGCGGCGGACGGGUGAGUAACACGUGGAUAACCUACCUAUAAGACUGGGAUAACUUCGGGAAACCGGAGCUAAUACCGGAUAAUAUUUUGAACCGCAUGGUUCAAAAGUGAAAGACGGUCUUGCUGUCACUUAUAGAUGGAUCCGCGCUGCAUUAGCUAGUUGGUAAGGUAACGGCUUACCAAGGCAACGAUGCAUAGCCGACCUGAGAGGGUGAUCGGCCACACUGGGACUGAGACACGGUCCAGACUCCUACGGGAGGCAGCAGUAGGGAAUCUUACGCAAUGGGCGAAAGCCUGACGGAGCAACGCCGCGUGAGUGAUGAAGGUCUUCGGAUCGUAAAACUCUGUUAUUAGGGAAGAACAUAUGUGUAAGUAACUGUGCACAUCUUGACGGUACCUAAUCAGAAAGCCACGGCUAACUACGUG